rnacentral:rRNA from 1 species
GUCGAACGAUGAAGCCCAGCUUGCUGGGUGGAUUAGUGGCGAACGGGUGAGUAACACGUGAGUAACCUGCCCUUAACUCUGGGAUAAGCCUGGGAAACUGGGUCUAAUACCGGAUAGGAGCGCCUACCGCAUGGUGGGUGUUGGAAAGAUUUAUCGGUUUUGGAUGGACUCGCGGCCUAUCAGCUUGUUGGUGAGGUAAUGGCUCACCAAGGCGACGACGGGUAGCCGGCCUGAGAGGGUGACCGGCCACACUGGGACUGAGACACGGCCCAGACUCCUACGGGAGGCAGCAGUGGGGAAUAUUGCACAAUGGGCGCAAGCCUGAUGCAGCGACGCCGCGUGAGGGAUGACGGCCUUCGGGUUGUAAACCUCUUUCAGUAGGGAAGAAGCGAAAGUGACGGUACCUGCAGAAGAAGCACCGGCUAACUACGUGCCAGCAGCCGCGGUAAUACGUAGGGUGCGAGCGUUAUCCGGAAUUAUUGGGCGUAAAGAGCUCGUAGGCGGUUUGUCGCGUCUGUCGUGAAAGUCCGGGGCUUAACCCCGGAUCUGCGGUGGGUACGGGCAGACUAGAGUGCAGUAGGGGAGACUGGAAUUCCUGGUGUAGCGGUGGAAUGCGCAGAUAUCAGGAGGAACACCGAUGGCGAAGGCAGGUCUCUGGGCUGUAACUGACGCUGAGGAGCGAAAGCAUGGGGAGCGAACAGGAUUAGAUACCCUGGUAGUCCAUGCCGUAAACGUUGGGCACUAGGUGUGGGGACCAUUCCACGGUUUCCGCGCCGCAGCUAACGCAUUAAGUG